AUUGAACGCUGGCGGCAUGCUUUACACAUGCAAGUCGAACGGUAACAGGCCGCAAGGUGCUGACGAGUGGCGAACGGGUGAGUAAUGCAUCGGAACGUGCCCAGUCGUGGGGGAUAACUAUCCGAAAGGAUAGCUAAUACCGCAUACGAUCUGCGGAUGAAAGCGGGGGACCUUCGGGCCUCGCGCGAUUGGAGCGGCCGAUGUCAGAUUAGGUAGUUGGUGGGGUAAAGGCUCACCAAGCCAACGAUCUGUAGCUGGUCUGAGAGGACGGCCAGCCACACUGGGACUGAGACACGGCCCAGACUCCUACGGGAGGUAGCAGUGGGGAAUUUUGGACAAUGGGCGCAAGCCUGAUCCAGCAAUGCCGCGUGCAGGAAGAAGGCCUUCGGGUUGUAAACUGCUUUUGUACGGAACGAAACGGCUCUGGUUAAUACCUGGGGCUAAUGACGGUACCGUAAGAAUAAGCACCGGCUAACUACGUGCCAGCCGCCGCCGUUAA
rnacentral:rRNA from 1 species